rnacentral:rRNA from 1 species
AUGGUCAAAGGCUCGGAGUCGGAUAUCGCCAACCUUAAGUUCCUCCUCCUCUGCUUCCAACAAAUGGCUAGCCUUAAGAUAAACUUCGACAAGAGUGAUGUGAUGGUGAUGGGCUACUCUCGGGCCAAGUCGCUUGCCAUUGCCAACCGGCUUAACUGCCGCCUCGGCGCCUUUCCCACAACUUACCUGGGAACGCCCAUUAGCGACUCUCGGCUCACCGUCACGGACCUGCGCCCGACCGUGACCAAGCUCCAAACGUGCAUCGAACCUUGGCAGGGUAGAUGGUUGUCAAAGGCGGCUCGGACCAUUCUCAUUAACUCAUCCUUCUCCAGCCUCCUCCUGUUCCUCAUGAGCUUCUACAGCCUCCACGAGACCCUGCACCAUGAGAUCGCCAAAAUUCAGUCCCGCUUUUACUGGGCCGGCGACAAUAAUAAGCAGAAAUACCAUAUGGUUAGCUGGCCUGACAUCUGCAAGCCUAGGGAUCAAGGAGGCCUCGGGAUCAUGUGCUCCAAACGCAUGAAUAUCGCCCUCCUACCCCGUUGGCUCUGGUGGACCUCGCAGGGCCAGGGGAGUCUCUGGCUUGACAUCAUUCGGAACAAAUAUCUGAGAGGCCAACCCCUCGCCUUUUGUUAG